AUAUGAAGGCCCAAAUUGUGUGUUCCUUUCUGCUCUGACAAUGGCAUGCCCAUUCGUGCGAGAUGUGGUGGAUGAAGAAGCACUUGUGCUGAGGAGCGCCUUCAGGCGAGAAAGGGUCUUCAGGGACCGGUUGGACCCACUGGCCUUCCCUGAUGACCAUCUAUAUGAAAGAUACAGGUUUUCUGCAGAUGGCAUCAGGUAUCUAUGCAGACUACUGGGUCCCAGGAUUAAGCACCGCACUGCACGGAGCCAUGCACUGAGUGUGGAGCAAAUGGUUUGUGUGGCCUUGCGCUUUUUUGCUAGUGGAGCCUUCCUGUACUCAGUGGGGAUGCAGAACAGCUGAACAAGGCCACAAUUUGCCGCACAAUAAGGAGUGUGUGUCUGGCUAUCAAAGCAUUAGCAGAUGUCUUCAUCUCCUUCCCUGGCCACAGAAGACUCUGUGACAUCAAAGAGGAGUUCUAUAGGAUUGCAGAUGGUCUGCAAUGCUGACUGUGUGAUCAGCAAUGUUGUGGCAAAAUGGCCUGGCUCAGUCCAUGACUCCAGAAUCUUUCAGGCCUCUGAAAUCUAUCAGUGCCUAUCACAAGGUGAAUUCUCUGGUGUGUUGCUGGGAGACAGGGGUAUGGCUGCCAGCCUUUUCUCCUGACACCUUUCACAGACCCCCAGGAAGCACAGCAGGCCUACAACCAUGCCCAUGCCAGGACCAGGGCCAGAGUUGAAAUGACCUUUGGCCUCCUGAAGGCACGGUUUCACUGCCUUCACAAAUUAAGGGUCAGCCCUGUUAGGGCAUGUGAUAUUACUGUGGCUUGUGCUGUCCUCCACAAUGUGGCCUGCCUGAGGAAGGAGAGGGCCCCAGAGU